AAGGCUUAUAAACCUAAUCCCUUCCCCUCCGUGAACCUCUCCACCCGAUCCUUUCUCCUCCUCCUUCGACGUUUCUCCCCUUCCCCUUCUCUAUGUUGUCGCCGGCUUUCACAGGCCGUCGCCCGUCGCCGGGUACCAUGAGAGCCCUCCUCUUCCUCUUCCUCUCCCUCUUGCACCGACUCUUCCCUUCUCUCGAUUCCUCUCCAUCACUCUUCUCUGCCGACAUAAACAACUCGCGGAGCAUCCCUAGCCCUUCCUCUUCCCUGAUCUUGCGCCACCCACUUCCGAGCGACCCCCUCGUGUUGCCGUCGAUUGGUGCCACUCAACCGUUGCCGACCAUUUGCUUGAGACUCACUGACAAUGCUGCAGCCGUCGAAGGAGGCGAUGUUGUCGGCUUGAGCGAGGAUCCCGAUUCCUCUUCAUCACGAUCUUCUUCGCGGUCUGAUCGUACCGGUGCCACCUGAUCGCGCUCCCAUCACUGGAUCCAGUCGUUGGCCAUGUGAGAGUCUCCCAUCGCUUCCCCAUCUCUGCUCUGAUCGACUCCGUUGUUUGUUGCCUCUAGCUGAUCACCGUUGGCGACACCAUCUGUUCACCACUAGCAUUCUGUUGAUGGGAAUUCACUACCGCCUACUACUAGAGAAGAAGGAAGUCAAUUGGUAGCUUCACCUAGCAUCAGCCACCAAUCUGGCAGAAAGGUCUUCGGCUGUGUGUUCACAAGGAGCAACCAGAUUAAGGACGUUGAUUCAAGACGAGCAUCUCGAAAUGAGAUUUGUUCCGAUACAAUCGACAGAUAAAGGCGGUACCUUUGACUUAUCUCUUUUGAUAUUAUCAUUCUUAUUGGCGUAGCGGGGUCGACAAGAGGGGGAUGAAUUGUCUGCAAAAUAAAAGUAUACCCUCCUCAAUUCUUUCAACUCAAACAGUGAAAUAGUAAUAAAGUAAACUAACAGAAAUAAAGAAAAAGA